rnacentral:lncRNA from 1 species
GCUACAUCAAGCUGCAUCAGCAAAGAACCAUCCUCUAUAAGUGGCUCAAAGUACCUCCUGCCACCAAACAGUUCACCCAGGCCCUGGACAGGUAAACAGUGACUCAGCUGCUUAAACUUGCCUACAAGUACAGGCCAGAGACAAAGCAGGAGAAGCAGCAAAGGCUGCUGGCCUGCGCUGAGAAGAAAGCUGUUGGCAAAGGGGACAUCCCAACUAAGAGACCACCUGUCCUCCGAGCAGGGGUCAAUACAGUCACCACUUUGGUGGAGAACAAGAA